ensembl:snRNA U6 U6 spliceosomal RNA
AUGUUCAUUUUGGCAGUCCAUAUACUAAAUAAGAAAGAUACAGAGAUUAGCACAACGCCUGCACAAGGAUGACACAAAAAUUGUGAAGAAUUCCAUAUUUUU